rnacentral:rRNA from 1 species
CAGCAGCCACGGGAAUACGGAGGGUGCAAGCGUUAUCCGGAUUUAUUGGGUUUAAAGGGUCCGUAGGCGGAUCUGUAAGUCAGUGGUGAAAUCUCACAGCUUAACUGUGAAACUGCCAUUGAUACUGCAGGUCUUGAGUAAAUUUGAAGUGGCUGGAAUAAGUAGUGUAGCGGUGAAAUGCAUAGAUAUUACUUAGAACACCAAUUGCGAAGGCAGGUCACUAAGAUUUAACUGACGCUGAUGGACGAAAGCGUGGGGAGCGAACAGGAUUAGAGACCCCUGUAGUCCCUGUCUCUUAUAU